rnacentral:ncRNA from 1 species
UUGUAUUGUGAAAGGAGAGAAGGUUAGCAUUCCCCUUGAUAAGAAUGGAAGAGUGCCUAGUGGCCUGUACAACGUGCAUACGGUGAAGUACUGCCAACUACUUCAUGACAUCUAAGCAUGUUUUUGG